CUCCUACGGGAGGCAGCAGUGGGGAAUUUUGGACAAUGGGCGCAAGCCUGAUCCAGCCAUACCGCGUGAGUGAAGAAGGCCUUCGGGUUGUAAAGCUCUUUCAGACGGAAAGAAACGGUCGCGGCUAAUACCCGCAGCUAAUGACGGUACCGUAAGAAGAAGCACCGGCUAACUACGUGCCAGCAGCCGCGGUAAUAAU
rnacentral:rRNA from 1 species